rnacentral:rRNA from 1 species
UACGUAGGGGGCAAGCGUUGUCCGGAUUCAUUGGGCGUAAAGAGCGUGUAGGCGGCCAGGUAGGUCGGUUGUGAAAGUCGGGGGCUCAACCCUCGAAUGCCGGUGGAUACUGUCGGGCUAGAGUGCGGGAGAGGCGAGUGGAAUUCCUGGUGUAGCGGUGAAAUGCGCAGAUAUCAGGAGGAACACCAAUUGCGAAGGCAGCUCGCUGGAACGUAACUGACGCUGAGACGCGAAAGCGUGGGGAGCAAACAGG